rnacentral:rRNA from 1 species
UACGUAGGUGGCAAGCGUUGUCCGGAUUUACUGGGCGUAAAGAGCGCGCAGGCGGUCGUUCAAGUCGCGUGUGAAAGCCCCCGGCUCAACUGGGGAGGGUCACGCGAUACUGAUCGACUCGAAGGCAGGAGAGGGUAGUGGAAUUCCCGGUGUAGUGGUGAAAUGCGUAGAUAUCGGGAGGAACACCAGUGGCGAAGGCGGGUCUCUGGACAGUUCCUGACGCUGAAGCACGAAGGCCAGGGGAGCAAACGGG